UGUGCUGCGGCCGCCAUUUUGAGUUUGAAUGCAGAUAGCAAUAGUGCUGUCGCUAUACCCAAUAAUCAGGUUUCUCUAUUUUUUUAAAAAAAAUAUUGAUUGUCGGCUUCGAAACAGCCAUAAGACAUGCAGUCAAAUCAGAUGAACCGAAAUUUGAAACAAGUGCAACUGGAGAACAACCGCAAUUCUCCGGUGAAGAGAGACUAUGACACAGCGGAUCUGGAGGGAACGGUGACUGGCGAUGAAGGUGAAGCCCUGACAGUGGACAUCAAGAAUUUCCGCAGGCCGGGAGAGAAGACUUAUACCCAAAGAUGCAGGCUCUUCGUUGGCAAUUUACCGACAGAUAUAACGGAAGAAGAUUUCAAGAAAUUGUUCCAGAAAUAUGGGGAACCAUCCGAGGUUUUUAUCAACCGGGACCGCGGAUUCGGCUUCAUUCGUUUGGAAACCAGAACUUUGGCUGAAAUAGCGAAGGCUGAACUUGACAGUACAAUGCUGAGGAAUCGGCCUCUGCGUAUUCGCUUUGCUACUCAUGGAGCAGCUUUGACUGUGAGGAAUCUUUCUCCAGUGGUUUCCAAUGAGCUACUAGAGCAAGCCUUUUCUCAGUUUGGCCCAGUAGAGAGAGCAAUAGUUGUUGUUGAUGACCGUGGGAAGCCUACAGGAAAAGGUUACGUGGAAUUUGCAGCAAAGCCUGCUGCUCGCAAGGCACUGGAAAGGUGCUCAGAUGGAGCAUUUUUAUUGACGUCGACUUCCAAUAUGACGAACCAGGCGACAAACUCUCCUCGUCCUGUUAUUGUGGAGCCCAUGGAACAGUUUGAUGAUGAAGAUGGACUUCCUGAGAAACUACUGCAAAAGAAUACUCAAUACCACAAGGAAAGGGAGCAGCCACCACGUUUUGCUCAGCCUGGGACAUUUGAAUUUGAAUAUGCAUCUCGGUGGAAAGCUCUUGAUGAAAUGGAAAAGCAACAGCGUGAGCAAGUUGACAGAAACAUCCGAGAAGCAAAGCAGAAACUAGAGGCAGAGAUGGAAGCUGCUCGUCAUGAACAUCAGCUUAUGCUUAUGAGACAAGAUUUGAUGAGACGCCAAGAGGAGUUGAGACGCCUGGAAGAAAUGAGGAAUCAAGAGCUGCAGAAACGAAAGCAGAUAGAAAUGAGGCAUGAAGAGGAACGUCGCCGACGAGAGGAGGAAAUGAUGCGCCAGAGAGAGCAGGAUGAAUUGAGAAGGCAGCAAGAAGGGUAUAAACCCAACUACAUGGACAAUGUUUCCACCCCUGCCACAGUACCGAAACAGCUCUUAUCAAAGUUACAAAUGACAUCCUAUGUGACUGUGUCCAAGAGAGAACAGGAUAUGAGGAUGGGUGAUAUGGGUCCACGUGGAGGAAUUGGCAUGGGAGAUGCGUAUAGCCCGGCUCCGGCUGGCACCCAAGGCCCUGCUCCACUUAUGGGUAUGAACAUGAACAACCGUGGACCUAUGCCUGGCGCUACAAUGGGACCUGUCCCAGCCAUUGGGCCAGAAGGAACUGCAAAUCUGGGAACACCCAUGCUGGGAGACAACGGUGGAACAAUGGUAAUUUCAUUUUAAUGAGGGAAGGAUGACAUUUUCAAAUACUCCAUUGACGAGCUCUGAGUUUUUAAUGCAACAUAAGCUGGCACAUUUGCCAUUCAUGUGAUCAGUGGCAGAGGAAAAACAAAUUUUCAUGCUCAGGAAUUUGGCUUCUGUCAAGUAGAAAUGAGAGUGCCUACGGCUUUUGAGAAACAUGAACAGCUUUCACCUCCAGAGUCCGUGUACUGUGAUCCAAAUGUCCUACAGUUGGUUUGACCAUCUACCAUUCUCUUGCUCCAAGUCAAGAUAUCACGCCCGGAUCCCACCCAGAUGCAUGUCUGCUAGUCAAGCAUGCCUGAAAGGAUUACCUCUACUGUACAGUAUUCUUUUGAAUCCACCCAGUAAAAUGAAGGGAAAUGGCCUGGUUGAACCUAAAUAACUUCCACAGGCUGGUCAUUGGCUGAGCAGAUACAGCUGAAGCGGUCACACAAAAUCUUCAAAGAUGUCAUCAGACCCAAAAUUCUGAAAUAACUUUUCCCUCUGGAAUAAGAACAUAGGACUUAGGAGCAGGAGUAAAAGUAGACAAUUCAGCCCUACCGACCCUGCCAGAGUCACCCCACCAACCAAUCAGCAUUCUUUUCUCCUGUAGUAUAAAUUGUUGAGAUCAUGUGAAAUUUGGCAUGCGUGUUUGUCCUGAUAAGUGCAAGCUUUGGCAACAUGUCUCUCUUCUCAGUACUAAAAAAUUUGAAUAUUGCUAAAAAACACAGACCAGCUAGGCACAAUUCCCUGAAAUGUAAAAUUUUGAUUCAUAACUGAACCAUGUGUAUAAAUACUUAUCUGUUUAUUGUUGUCUAAGCUUACAUCACAGUUUUGGUGGCAUACAAGUACUGGGCUUCAUAUACGACUUAUGUGCAACAUAACAUUUAAAAUUUAGACGCAGCAUAGAUUUUCAAUUUGCUGCCCAAACAUAAAAGUGAAAUCAAUGGAAAUGAAAAUUGCAUUGCUUUAAAAUGCCACUUUCAUGCUCGGGCAGCAAGUAGCAAAUUUAGUCACAGAUUGACAAGUUAGGAAAACAAUAAAAAGAACAAGUACUUACCAAAAAUACAGGAAGCUGAAAUUUAUCAUUUAGAAUAACAGCCUGAACACUGCAGGAUCCACAAAGUUUAGCCACUAUGUGGUCAUGGCUAUAAAAGUUUGCAUGAAAGAUGAAGAGAAGAAUCCCAGUUCCUAGGAAAGAGUGCAUCCUGGAUUAGUUUAAUCUAUUGGCAUGCAAAACAGAUUCUCACUAAUACAAAUGCAGUCUCAACCGACUUAUAGCAGAUGUGCCCUCACAAAUGUGAUUUGCCCCUUCUAUGCAAUAGCUGGUGUAAAGCUGAAAUGAAGACAGAAAUACAACGUCCCCCUCCCCCCGCCCAGCCCCACAUAUCAGACAGCAUCUGGCAAAGAAACAAACAAAAGCAGUCACAUUAAUAUAGGAACAAGGUAGACCAUUUAUAGCCCUUGAGCACGUUCCAUCAUUCAAUGAGAUAAUGGUUAAUCUACAACCCAAAUGCAAUUACAUGCCUUUGCUCCAUAUCCUUUCAUACAUUUGGUUAACAAAAAUCUUGUCAAUCUCAGGUUUAAAGCUAACAAUUAAUCUAGCAUCAACUGCCUUUUGCAAAACAAAGUUCCAAACUUCAACAAAAAGGGUGGCAGAAGUAUUUCCUCAUCUCACACCUGAAAAGGUUUCACUCUAAUUUAUAGUCUAAUCCUAAAUGGUCCUACCAGCAGAAAUAAUUUCUAUCAACCCUUGUGGCACCCCUCAAAACCUAGAAAGCUUCAAUCAACUCACCUUUUGACCUUCUAAAUUCCAGUGAAUAUAACCCAAGUUUGUGUAAUCUCUCCUCAUAAUUUAACCCUGGAGCUUAAGUAUCACCCUGAUAAAUUCAUGCUUCACUCCCUCCGAGGCCACUGUAUCUUUCCUAAAACACUUCGCAGUACUUCAGGUGUGGUCUAACCAGGGCUUUGUACAACUGAAGUAUAACUUCUUCCCUUUGUAUUCUGUCCAGAACUAGGUGCUGAGGGACGUACUAAUGUUUGGGACAGCCACUGCAGAGGCGCAACGGGGAAAGUCACUGUCUAAGACCUUUCAGCCACAGUGCACCGAGGGGCUGGAAACUGUAUAGAUCCCCGUGGGCUGUAUGUCUCACAUUGGAACUAUACAGCAAAUAUUACAUGUAUCAGCUUUUGUGUUGAAGUACCUAAGAGUGCAACAUGAUCGAUGUAGAGGAUUUGAAUAUUAUUGCACUGUGAUGGCCAUUUUGAAAUGUUUUGUAAUUUUUUUGAAGAUAUUUUAUGAAUAAUAAAUAUUUUUGUAAAAAAGUA